rnacentral:rRNA from 1 species
UACGUAUGGAGCAAGCGUUAUCCGGAUUUACUGGGUGUAAAGGGAGCGUAGGCGGUAAGGCAAGUCUGAUGUGAAAGGCCGGGGCUCAACCCUGGGACUGCAUUGGAAACUGUUUAACUGGAGUGUCGGAGAGGCAAGUGGAAUUCCUAGUGUAGCGGUGAAAUGCGUAGAUAUUAGGAGGAACACCAGUGGCGAAGGCGGCUUGCUGGACGAUGACUGACGCUGAGGCUCGAAAGCGUGGGGAGCAA